AACGAACGCUGGCGGCAGGCCUAACACAUGCAAGUCGAGCGAGGACUUCGGUUCUAGCGGCGGACGGGUGAGUAACGCGUGGGAAUGUGCCCUUCUCUACGGAAUAGCCCUGGGAAACUGGGAGUAAUACCGUAUACGCCCUAUUGGGGAAAGAUUUAUCGGAGAAGGAUCAGCCCGCGUUGGAUUAGGUAGUUGGUGGGGUAAUGGCCUACCAAGCCGACGAUCCAUAGCUGGUUUGAGAGGAUGAUCAGCCACACUGGGACUGAGACACGGCCCAGACUCCUACGGGAGGCAGCAGUGGGGAAUCUUAGACAAUGGGGGCAACCCUGAUCUAGCCAAGCCGCGUGAGUGAUGAAGGCCUUAGGGUUGUAAAGCUCUUUCAGCUGGGAAGAUAAUGACGGUACCAGCAGAAGAAGCCCCGGCUAACUCCGUG
rnacentral:rRNA from 1 species